GCGCUUGUGGUUCAGUGAUAGAAUUCUCGCUUACCACGCGGGAGACCGGGGUUCGAUUCCCCGCAAGCGCA